GGAAGUGUGGCUGAAGGGCUGGUUAAUGAAGACACCCUCAAACCAUCGAAAAUAAAGACUAUUUCAGUAGUGGGUAGAAGAUUCCUGGCAUCUCCAUUGAAACACAGGCAUUAAGAGGACUGAGCUACACUCAAUUUUUGAGAAGACUCCUGACCAAUUUCCAGACUUUCAGGCUAUCCCAGGAGUGCUAUGGCUGCCCCAGGCUCAUUGUACUGCUACCCCAUAGCUACUUGCAUUGAUUCUCAACCUCUCUGGGAAACUGCCAUUGGUCCUAUGACCACAGGAAAGGACAGCCUAGAAGAGUGGCUGGUCCCCUGCCUGAUAGAGCUAUGCAGACACACCAACGAAGCAUCUGGGCUCUGCUUUUCCUGCUGUAGGGGACACUGGAGACAAUCACAAGACCCUCAAACAAUUAUCUUGCUGAUCUUCCCCAAAACCCUACAGCCAGUUUGAAGCAUAAGUGUAUGAUCACAAUGAACAAGAACCAAGUAUGUUGGAGUGGGGCUGAAAAACUGUGCUGCAGACCUACUUGAAAAUGCUGAAGCUGGCUGUGAUCAUUACUUCAGAUAUUACACAGUUGUGUUUUUGCUUCCUGGAAGCACUGACCACCUGCUGAUUUCACCACAGAAGUCUUUGUUGAUUUGUAGCUAUUUACAUACUGUAACAAAAGCAGUGAUUGGCCUUUUGGUUAGAGGGAGCAUUCAUAAGAUCCCAUUGUUUUCAAUUGCUUUUAGGACAUGGGAACUUUCCUUAGAUGCUACAUGAUCAAUCUGCGCUGACAUAAAGGUAAUGCCUUGUAAGGCUUUAAAACAGGUUUGUUGACAUGCUUUGGGCAGAUAUUUAGCAGCUCUUAUGAUGAUGACUCAUAUGCUAGCUUUUGCAGUGAUUGAUAAUAUCACCGUCUAGUUUAUUCACCAAGAACAUUGACUGAUUUUAGUAAUAUAUUUCACAACAUCAGAUCCUGCAAAAUGCAAAUCAGUGCCAAAGUUCAGUUAAACAGUUAUAAAUAAAUUGAAACCACUGCUAACCAGAUCAAAAUAACAUUAGGAAGCUUUGUGAAGAGCUAAUUGGGACCAUCAUGUGGAUAAUAUUACAUCAUACAGUAACUAGAUAUACAGUUUCUUUAAUCUUAUGAAAUAGAAAUAACAUAUUCAUAUGUGGGGUAGAAUAUUCCCAAUGGAAUUUGAAAGGCUUGGAAUAUGAGUGUGCAAACAUUUAAUUAUGGUUUCUAAACUGGUUCCAUUUUAAAGAAAUUUCCAUUCGCAACGGGGCCAUGUUCAGUGAAAAGAGACUCACUUGCAAGCAAAAUUGCUUUAAUCAAGAAUACACAUGUAGUUUUUUAUUAGACCAAACAACUCUGGGCAAAAUCUUCAGCAGGUGUAAAGCAGCAUACCGCUACUGAAGCAAUGGAACUAAGUUGAUUUACUCCAGCGGCGGAGCUUUGUUCAUGUAUAGAACUAUCAGUGACUGACAUAGGAAAGAGGAUAUUGGGCCAAAUCCUCAGUUGGUGUAAAUCAGCAUAGCUCCAUUUUCAUUAGUUAAUAUCUGCCCAUCAGUAAAUGAGGACGCAGAGUCAUAAGAGAGAGCAAAAAAUGUGUUUGUAUAGGUCCUAGAAAAUUACUAUUUACUGUGGCAAAGUGCAUGAGUAAUUUAGUGGUACUUAAAGCAAUUUAAUGUUUUUUAAAUAAUAAUCUACUCAAACAUGAGUGGGCUCCUUCAAAUAGAAACUUGGACCUGAUUCUUAUCUCAUUCACAUCACAUUUUUUCAAGUUAUUUUACUCUUAGUUUACAACAAGAGUUA